AUUGAACGCUGGCGGCAGGCCUAACACAUGCAAGUCGAACGGUAACAGGAAGAAGCUUGCUUCUUUGCUGACGAGUGGCGGACGGGUGAGUCAUGUCUGGGAAACUGCCUGAUGGAGGGGGAUAACUACUGGAAACGGUAGCUAAUACCGCAUAACGUCGCAAGCCCAAAGAGGGGGACCUUCGGGCCUCUUGCCAUCGGAUGUGCCCAGAUGGGAUUAGCUAGUAGGUGGGGUAACGGCUCACCUAGGCGACGAUCCCUAGCUGGUCUGAGAGGAUGACCAGCCACACUGGAACUGAGACACGGUCCAGACGCCUACGGGAGGCAGCAGUGGGGAAUAUUGCACAAUGGGCGCAAGACUGAUGCAGACAUGCCGCGUGUAUGAAGAAGGCCUUCGGGUUGUAAAGUACUUUCAGCGGGGAGGAAGGGAGUAAAGUUAAUACCUUUGCUAAUUGACGUUACCCGCAGAAGAAGCACCGGCUAACUCCGUG
rnacentral:rRNA from 1 species